GGCGACAUAGCUCAGUUGGUAGAGCACACGGCUCAUAUCCGUGCUGUCAGAAGUUCAAUCCUUCUUGUCGCUA
rnacentral:tRNA from 1 species